rnacentral:misc_RNA from 1 species
GAUGAAGAACGUAGCGAAAUGCGAUAAGUAAUGUGAAUUGCAGAAUUCAGUGAAUCAUCGAAUCUUUGAACGCAUCUUGCGCUCCUUGGUAUUCCGAGGAGCAUGCCUGUUUGAGUGUCAUUAAAGUUCUCAACCAUGCCAGUUUUCUCUGGUCCAUGGCCUUGGAUGUGGGGGGUUUAUCAUUUGCUGGCUUUGGAGACAAAGUCGGCUCCCCUGAAAUGCAUUAGUAGUAUUCGAGCAGAAAUCUACCACAGGUGUGAUGAAUUAUCUAUGCCUUGGUAUCAACUGUGUGCACUGCUUUCUCUAACAACAUUUGACAAAUUUGACCUCAAAUCAGGCAGGACUACCCGCUGAACUUAAGCAUAUCAAUAAGCGGAGGA